AUCGACUACAGCAAAGCCUUUGACAGCAA
rnacentral:sRNA from 1 species